AAACGUUUCAUUGAUGCGUCAAAUUAGCUUUAUCUUUUUAACUACAUAUGGUAGCGCAACACACAUUGUGCCACUAGCUUUUUUACAACUUAAUUUUUAACAAGUCAAGUUUUAAAAAUCUAAGGAUAUUUGCAAUCCAAGAACCCUCCACAACACCAAUGUUUUAUAUUAUGUCAGCUAGAAAACUAGGCCACAGAAAAAGAUAACAGGGGUGACAAAAGUGGUGCCAGCAGUCGCGGUUAUACCACUAACCCAAGUUAAUUCAUUCCUAAACAGAACAUUUAACAGACUACAAAAUUAUUUUCAUACGUAAAAAAUAAAUUCUAAAUAUAACCUAAUAAGUCAUUACAACCAAAAUUCUAACAAACCACAAAUUCAAAACUCGGAUUAGAUACCCGACUAUUGUGUGGCCCAACACAUUAAAGAAUACUACAAGCGAAAGCUCGAACCUCAAACAAUGUGGCGGUGCUUAACUCCCUAUCAGGGGAUCCUGUGGCUUAAUUCGAUAAUCCACGCUAAACCUUAGCUUUUAUUGUAACCCUCAGCUUGUGUAUGGCCGUUUAUGCUUGCUCAGAAAAGAAAUCAAAGGAAGCAACAAGAUUAAUCUAACAAUUCAGGUGACAUACAGCCAAUUAGAAGCCGCUACAUGGGAUACAAAUGACCACACCACCAGACUAAAAGCUUAAAACUUUAACAAAGGAGGACUUGAAAGUAAGGUUAAAUUCAUAAAACCAACCUGAACAAGAACUUAAGCGCGCACAAAUCGCCCGUCACUCCGACAGCAAAGUAGGAUAAGUCGUAACACAGUAGGGGUAAUGGAAAUUGCCCCUAGCA
rnacentral:ncRNA from 1 species